AGAAAAGUGUAUUAAAUAAUAUUGAAAAUAGAAUAAAUGUAAACAAUGAGAAUUAAAAUCAGUAAACAAUGAGAAUUAAAAUCAGUAAACCUAUCACCAUUCACUUCCUUUCUUCUUUCACGCUCGAUCAUCCUUCUCUCUCUCACUCUCGAUCUCUUACCAUCUCGCCACUCUCGAUCGCUCUAUCUCACACCUCUCUCGCUCAUGUCAUCUCUCAAUCUCAACCUCAUUCACAAACUUUCACUCUACAUGCCAGAAAAACAAAAUGCUUUAAAGAGAUUCAAGCAGUAAAACUCACCUUCGGCGGUGGUCCGGUGGUAAUGACGAUGCUUGGAUCUUCCUCCCGUCGCCGCUCAACUCUUCUAGCUCUAGGGCUUUCGCUCUCUGAAAACUUUAGGUUUUUUUUUUGGCUGAUUGAAGUUAGGUUUUUCGUCGCCGCUCCUAAAAAACUCUCCUUUUUUUCUACAGCAUCCGCCUCUUUUUAUACCCAAUCAGUUAGGGUUUUCGAGCUAGCUAUGGAGAUUAAAAAGGGAAACCUCUUGGAAGUGCUUUUAGGUGCUCAGCUUUGCCUGUCUCGCUUGAUACUUAAAUCUGGAAACGUAAAAAUUGGUGAAAAGAAACACUUCGGUUAUUUGCAAAGCUCAACUAUUGCUACUACCAUGAACUUCUAGGUGUGAAGAAGUGCUAGCUAUCAAGGAUGAAAAUCAGUUCCGUUAUAAGCUAAUGUUAAUGUUAGUAGGUGUUGCAGGUUGAAUGUGUUGUUGCUAAUGUGUUUGCUGUUGGCUUCGAGAAACGGCGGCUGCGUUUGAAAUUAUGUCGCUUAAAUACAGGUUUUGUGGGUUAGUUAGAGGUGUUAGAAAUAUGGUGGAGAAUUUCAUUAAAAAAAGAGGGGUUCUGUUUUUUGAACUGAGCUUCUAAAAGAUUCUAAUGUUAUAUUAACAGUUAGGAAAUAAGUUGUUGUUAUUCGUGAUUGUUAUUAUCAUACUGAAAGAGAUUAAUCUUCUAUUAUCUUGCUGACUUUCCUGAUCGCAUUGUGAUGUUUACAAGGGAUUUGCUGUGAAACUGAUAUGAACCAUUGCCACCAGGUUGUUCUGUUACGAACCUUGUAGAGAAUGUUGGCUAUUGUGCCUGAAAUUGGGCUUGAAAUUGUUCAGGUUUUGGAUACUGAUUGGGUAAUAGGAUUGUGUAUAGAUGGAAUUAGAAAUGAUUGUAAUUUUGAACAUAUUUGUUUCAGGAAUGAAUAGGAAGUUUGAAGGUUAUUGGUUAGCUUGGAAAUUUCGGCUUGGAUGCGGCUAUGAAGCGCAUUGGAUGGCGGGGCUGUUUUGGAAUUCUGUAAAGCUUCUUCAUGUUCCACGACUUCAAUAGAUGAAUUGAUCGAGCGACAAGCAGCAGCAGCGGAUUUAACUUUUAGCUGACCAAUAUAUGCUUCCGUGUGUAUAAUCUGUCUAUGCAUAUUAUUCAACUCAAACUUGUCAUGAUCAAGAACAUUGUAUCUAUGAAUCAUGUGAGGUUCUAAUCCAUUUGUAGCGUACCGUAAAGUUUUAAAAUGCCGGAGAUUAGCUUUAGUGCCUCAAAUUUGUAGUUUCCGUUUGUUUAUGGUUGUUUGUAAUUAGGUGCCUAGUAUAGUCCUUAAUUUUUUGUAGCUGUAUAGCUUUAUAAUAUGAAGCGUGAUUAUUCUAUUCCA